rnacentral:rRNA from 1 species
GGGCCCGCACAAGCGGUGGAGCAUGUGGUUUAAUUCGAAGAUACGCGCAGAACCUUACCAACACUUGACAUGUUCGUCGCGACUCUAAGAGAUUAGAGUUUUCGGUUCGGCCGGACGAAACACAGGUGCUGCAUGGCUGUCGUCAGCUCGUGUCGUGAGAUGUUGGGUUAAGUCCCGCAACGAGCGCAACCCUCACUUUUAGUUGCCAUCAUUUAGUUGGGCACUCUGAAAGAACUGCCAGUGAUAAGCUGGAGGAAGGUGGGGAUGACGUCAAGUCCUCAUGGCCCUUACGUGUUGGGCUACACACGUGCUACAAUGGUAUCUACAACAGGAAGCAAAACAGCGAUGUUAAGCAAAUCCUUAAAAGAUACCUCAGUUCGGAUUGCACUCUGCAACUCGAGUGCAUGAAGCUGGAAUUACUAGUAAUCG